rnacentral:rRNA from 1 species
AGAGUUUGAUUAUGGCUCAGGAUGAACGCUAGCGGCAGGCCUAAUACAUGCAAGUCGUACGGGAUAGGCACUUUCGGGUGUCUUGAGAGUGGCGCACGGGUGCGCAACGCGUAUGCAACCAACCCCGACGGGCGGAUAGCCGGUGGAAACGCCGGAUAAUACGCCAUGGUUCCCCCGGGUGGCAUCACCUGGGGGAUAAAGCAGCGAUGCGGUCGGGGACGGGCAUGCGUCCCAUUAGAUUGUAGGCGGGGUGACGGCCCACCUAGUCGACGAUGGGUAGGGGAUCUGAGAGGACGGUCCCCCACACUGGUACUGAGACACGGACCAGACUCCUGCGGGAGGCAGCAGUAAGGGAUAUUGGGCAAUGGUCGGAAGACUGACCCAGCCAAUGCCGCGUGAGGGAAUGAGGCCCUACGGGUCGUGAACCUCUUUUAUUCGGGGACAAGGACGGCGUCGAGAACGUUGUUUGAGGGUACCGAAGGAAUAAGCGUCGGCUAACUCCGUGCCAGCCGCAGC